GAUGAACGCUGGCGGCGUGCCUAAUACAUGCAAGUCGAGCGAACAGACGAGGAUCUUGCUCCUCUGACGUUAGCGGCGGACGGGUGAGUAACACGUGGAUAACCUACCUAUAAGACUGGGAUAACGUCGGGAAACCGGAGCUAAUACCGGAUAAUAUAUUGAACCGCAUGGUUCAAUAGUUAAAUACGGUUUUGCUGUCACUGAUAGAUGGAUCCGCGCGGCUUUAGUUAGUUGGUAAGGUAACGGCUUACUAAGGCAGCGAUGCGUAGCCGACCUGAGAGGGUGAUGGGCCACACUGGAACUGGACCACGGUCCAGAGUCCGAGGGGAGGCAGCAGUAGGGAAUCGUGCGCAAUGGGCGGAAGCCUGACGGAGCAGCGCCGGGUGGGUGCUGAAGGUCUUCGGAUCGUAAAACUCUCUUAUUAGGGAAGAACAAAUGUGUAAGUAACUAUGCACGUUUUGACGGUACCUAAUCAGAAAGCCACGGCUAACUACGUG
rnacentral:rRNA from 1 species